rnacentral:rRNA from 1 species
AUUGAACGCUGGCGGCAGGCCUAACACAUGCAAGUCGAACGGUAACAGGAAGAAGCUUGCUUCUUUGCUGACGAGUGGCGGACGGGUGAGUAAUGUCUGGGAAACUGCCUGAUGGAGGGGGAUAACUACUGGAAACGGUAGCUAAUACCGCAUAACGUCGCAAGACCAAAGAGGGAGACCUUCGGGCCUCUUGCCAUCGGAUGUGCCCAGAUGGGAUUAGCUAGUAGGUGGGGUAACGGCUCACCUAGGCGACGAUCCCUAGCUGGUCUGAGAGGAUGACCAGCCACACUGGAACUGAGACACGGUCCAGACUCCUACGGGAGGCAGCAGUGGGGAAUAUUGCACAAUGGGCGCAAGCCUGAUGCAGCCAUGCCGCGUGUAUGAAGAAGGCCUUCGGGUUGUAAAGUACUUUCAGCGGGGAGGAAGGGAGUAAAGUUAAUACCUUUACUCAUUGACGUUACCCGCAGAAGAAGCACCGGCUAACUCCGUG